UCUGAAUAAGCUAAUUCGGUUUCUUCAACAAGGUUCUGGAAAUCGGAUGGCUAUGUUCUUAAAAUAUCGUAAGGCCUAGUAUCAGUUCUCAAUCCAUGGGGGAAUCUUUGCUGCUGCUUCUUAUAAUUGACCUCAAAAGCAGAAGAAGCUUCCUCAGGAGACCAAAAUGAUAAUGGAACAAGUUUAGGGGAUGCACUACAUUACUGUGUCAUGGAUACCACAUUUUCAUCUAUCAAAGAUCUUCAAAUAUUUUCUGGUGGUGCUGAUAUCAAGAGGCAGCAGGAGCGCAAGCAUUCUCACCAAAUGUCAACGCUCCUCGCACUUAUGUAGAAGCAGGGAAGCAGUGCUAGAGCUAAUGAUCACUCUUAGGAUGGAAGGGUUUGCCAAACUUCUGUAGCAGUUGCUCCUAGGGUUUUCUCAUGCUAGCAAUAAUAAUACUUACCAAGCAGCCAUUGAUAUUAAUAAUUCAACUUCUCAAAACCAUCAAGUGGAGGUCUUUGAUGAAUUUGAUCCUGCAGUUCCGUUUCAGAGAUAUGAAGACCGCUACAGCAGGGAUGAUGACUACGGAGGAAGAAGUGUUGAUGAUUAUCAGUACGCACAGGAUUUAGGAGCUAUGGUAGAGACUGUGCUUUGACGAGGAUGGUUCUUCUUGUUGGGGAAGUAGUGCUAGAGCUAAUGAUCACUCUCAGGAUGGAAGGUAACCAUAAAAUAAGCUUGAUCAUCUUCUCAUCCAGGCAAAGCUUGAUAUGCUUUACAAGUGUUGAA